AGAGUAACGCGUGGUUAUGUGCCCUUGGGACUGGGAUAGCGUCGGGAAACUGGCGGUAAUACCGGAUAAUAUCUUCGGAUCAAAUGGUGAGAUUCCGCCCAAGGAUCAGACCGCGUUCUAUUAGCUAGUUGGUGGGGUAAUGGCCCACCAAGGCUCAGAUGGAUACCGGGUGUGAGAGCAUGGCCCGGCUCACUGGGACUGAGACACUGCCCAGACACCUACGGGUGGCUGCAGUCGAGAAUCUUUGUCAAUGGACGAAAGUCUGAACAAGCGACGCCGCGUGCGGGAUGAAGGCCUUCGGGUUGUAAACCGCUGUCAGUUGGGAGGAAAUACUAGGGGGUUAUCCCCUUAGUUUGACCGAUCUUCAGAGGAAGGACGGGCUAAGUUCGUGCCAGCAGCCGCGGUAAGACGAACCGUCCAAACGUUAUUCGGUAUCACUGGGCUUAAAGCGUACGUAGGCGGCCUAGCAGGUGGGGUGUGAAAUCCCUCGGCUCAACCGAGGAACAGCGCUCCAAACCGUUAGGCUUGAGGGAGACAGGGGUGAUGGGAACUGUUGGUGGAGCGGUGAAAUG
rnacentral:rRNA from 1 species